rnacentral:rRNA from 1 species
GGGUGGUAAAUUCCAUCUAAAGCUAAAUAUUGGCGAGAGACCGAUAGCGAACAAGUACAGUGAUGGAAAGAUGAAAAGAACUUUGAAAAGAGAGUGAAAAAGUACGUGAAAUUGUUGAAAGGGAAGGGCUUGAGAUCAGACUUGGUAUUUUGCGUUCCCUUCCUUUUUGGUUGGGUUCCUCGCAGUUUACUGGGCCAGCAUCGGUUUGGAUGGUAGGAUAAUGACAUUGGAAUGUAGCUUUACUUCGGUGAAGUGUUAUAGACUUUGUUGAUACUGCCUAUCUAGACCGAGGACUGCGUCUUUGACUAGGAUGCUGGCGUAAUGAUCUUAAGCCGCCCGUCUUGAAACACGGAC